rnacentral:lncRNA from 1 species
CACCUUUUUGGGUUCUGUUUGUGACAGAAAGCAAUGAUGUAAACACUCAUUGGCUGUAGCUGUCCUUGUUUGUACACCUGCUUCUGGAUUUCCAAUAAUCAAAUCAGGUGUAUGAGAUUUUGUCCACUUCCUUGCAUGUGGAAGUUGACCAUUUUCAUCAUUGGAUCCUCCCCCUUGAUCCAUGCUCUCUUGAUUCUGCUGAUUAUUCUCUGUAGCUCCCCCUGCAAUUGUGCUAUCAGAG